GACGAACGCUGGCGGCGUGCUUAACACAUGCAAGUCGAACGGAAAGGCCCUGCUUUUGUGGGGUGCUCGAGUGGCGAACGGGUGAGUAACACGUGAGUAACCUGCCCUUGACUUUGGGAUAACUUCAGGAAACUGGGGCUAAUACCGGAUAGGAGCUCCUGCUGCAUGGUGGGGGUUGGAAAGUUUCGGCGGUUGGGGAUGGACUCGCGGCUUAUCAGCUUGUUGGUGGGGUAGUGGCUUACCAAGGCUUUGACGGGUAGCCGGCCUGAGAGGGUGACCGGCCACAUUGGGACUGAGAUACGGCCCAGACUCCUACGGGAGGCAGCAGUGGGGGAUAUUGCACAAUGGGCGGGAGCCUGAUGCAGCAACGCCGCGUGCGGGAUGACGGCCUUCGGGUUGUAAACCGCUUUCGCCUGUGACGAAGCGUGAGUGACGGUAAUGGGUAAAGAAGCACCGGCUAACUACGUG
rnacentral:rRNA from 1 species